GCUGUGAAAGUGAUGUCUACAUAUGUAAAGCAACUUUUAAAAUCCCUAUUAACCUGAAGGUUACUGAGGCUGUGAAGUCAAAAGGAAAAUGUAAGAGGCUGCCGAGUUCUCAGAGUGGGAUGAAUAGAAUCAUUCAUGUUCAUCUGGAGAGAAACAAGUUUUCCUGUGACUGAAUAUUAAGAGAAUCAAGUUGAGGAACACAAGACAGAAAUCCAUGGAAUAACUUCAGAAAGAUUCCAAGUCAAAUACCUGAUAGUCAAGAAUGGGAAGAAUUCUUAAGUGUGGUAGGAAUUCAAAGUAAGAGAAAGGUGAAGAGGAGCAUAGGUUAUCUGGGCCUGGCAAGACUUCUUCAGGGAGACUUCCAGGGAAUAAAGAACUCUAAGCAGCGAAGCUGUGUCAGGCAUUGUACUCACUGUUAAACACAUAUUAGGAACUGGAUUAGAAAAGAUAAUAAAUGUGUAGGCUUGUCCAAAGGUCUCGUAUGACCUUUAGUUAGUUCACUGAUGUUUCCAUUUGCUGUACUGUACUCUAGAGACUUUAACUGAUUCCAUGAUGCUUCCCUAGGUGGCAAAUGUAUGACCUUAUGAGUGUUUAGGUAUCUUGAGAUACUGCCUCACUGAAUUCUUCUUGAUUAUGUAAUUAAUCUCCUUAUACUUGUCAGUAACUUUUUUGGGUGGAGAUAAAAGAAAGGCAAAAAAUGUUUAUUGUAUCAGGGCUUGUGCUAGAAUUUCCAGAAUGUGUAGAAAAUAAUACUGUAAUCUAACCAAGAAACCACAACGGUCCUCUUGACACACCCAAUAUUCAUGAUUCUCACUGAAAAGAGAUUGUUUUUUCUAGUCCUAGCUAUCAAGGAGAGAAAUUAUAUGGCCUAGUCAUUUAACUAUUGCAUAAAGGACCAACUCACAGAACGUAAUAAAACAAUGUAAUAAAUCAAGGAGAGUUUUAGGGCUGUGUUUUGCAUUGAAAAAUGAAUAUGAAUAAGUUUAAGCAAGGUUCUUCUCCACUAGACUUUUAAAAAACGAAUAAUAGAACUUCCUUGUAGUUUGUCAUGAAUACAAGUUAUAUACAAAUGUCAGAAGAGGAGAAAAGCAAGUAUGUAAUUCAAGUUUUAGUAUUACUUUUUAAAGUAUAUGACUUGUCAGGAUAGGACAGACCAAAAUAUUGAGUUACCAGUUCCAUAAAAUGAGAAUACUAUAGUUUUCUGAUGUGCAAAAUACCAGUAGAUACUUAAAGAAAGAGGAAAAAGAUAAUGAUACCGCUAGGUCUUUAAAAGUAAAAUGGACUCAUUUCCUAAGAUUAGGAGGAGUCACAUAAGAAGGCAAAGUUCAUUGCGUGCUGUA
rnacentral:lncRNA from 1 species